GGAUGAAGAAUGAUGAAUAAUCUUAGGAAGAGAGUGACGAUUCAUUUCGUGUGAUCCAUUCUACUUCUAUUUCGCUACGUUCUUUCUGAUUCAUCC